GAGCGGUAUAGAGAAGCUUGCUUCUCUUGAGUAGCGGCGGACGGGUGAGUAAUGCCUAGGAAUCUGCCUGGUAGUGGGGGAUAACGUUCGGAAACGGACGCUAAUACCGCAUACGUCCUACGGGAGAAAGCAGGGGACCUUCGGGCCUUGCGCUAUCAGAUGAGCCUAGGUCGGAUUAGCUAGUUGGUGGGGUAAUGGCUCACCAAGGCGACGAUCCGUAACUGGUCUGAGAGGAUGAUCAGUCACACUGGAACUGAGACACGGUCCAGACUCCUACGGGAGGCAGCAGUGGGGAAUAUUGGACAAUGGGCGAAAGCCUGAUCCAGCCAUGCCGCGUGUGUGAAGAAGGUCUUCGGAUUGUAAAGCACUUUAAGUUGGGAGGAAGGGUUGUAGAUUAAUACUCUGCAAUUUUGACGUUACCGACAGAAUAAGCACCGGCUAACUCUGUG
rnacentral:rRNA from 1 species